GCAGAGCCUGGGCAUGCGGCGAGCCACCCCUGCCACCCCUUUCCCGCUGGAAACCACAGAUGGCAAUGACAGCAGUAGUCCCCUGGCAGCCACACACCCCUCUCCAAGAACCCCAGCGUGCCACCUGCCAGAGCCUGCAGCUCCCACACCCCUCUCAUGCCUCCAGCACAGCCCUGCCACCACUUGCAGAGGAAGCUGAGACCAGAGCACUGAAGUAACCUGCCCAAGACUGCACAGCUUGCUGGCAGAGGAGCAGAGCCUGCGGCACGGCCUCUGUGUUACACUGUGGGCCCUGAGGAUGAGGACUGGCCUGGAGUCCCUUUGGGUCUGCAGAGCAAUGCCUGGCACAGAGCAGGCCCUGACUGGGGCUGCAGAGUCACUAAGUCCCUGCAUGGGGGACCAACUGAUGCAGGCUCUGAGGUCCCAGGAUUCUGUGGAGAUUCACAGGGGACCUAGGACCCUCGGAGCUGCCCUCUGAAUUCAAGCAGUGGUGCCUCCUGUGCUUGUCAGGCAGGAUGAUCUGUGGGGCCUGUGGGCUCUGACCUCACUCUGCAGCAGCAAAGCCCAGAGGCCUCACUUUUUCAUGAACCAGCACAGGCUCUCCUGAGAGCCCUGGAGGGAAGGCUCCGGCUAUACUGCCUCCUGGUGUGAGGAGGCUUCUCUCUUGUCUGU
rnacentral:lncRNA from 10 species